rnacentral:rRNA from 1 species
AUUGAACGCUGGCGGCAGGCCUAACACAUGCAAGUCGAACGAGUGGCGGACGGGUGAGUAAUGUAUGGGAAACUGCCCGAUGGAGGGGGAUAACUACUGGAAACGGUAGCUAAUACCGCAUACCAUCGGAUGUGCCCAGAUGGGAUUAGCUAGUUGGUGGGGUAACGGCUCACCUAGGCGACGAUCCCUAGCUGGUCUGAGAGGAUGACCAGCCACCCUGGAACUGAACCACGGUCCAGACUCCUACGGGAGGCAGCAGUGGGGAAGAUUGCACAAUGGGCGCAAUCCGGAUGCAGCCAUGCCGCGUGUAUGAAGAAGGCCUUCGGGUUGUAAAGUACUUUCAGCGAGGAGGCGUUACUCGCAGAAGAAGCACCGGCUAACUCCGUGCCAGCCGCCGCGGUAAUUC